GUCCAGCUGAAGAGUCUCACAUUAGUACGAAACGUGCGUUCUGGAU
rfam:Schistosoma mansoni strain Puerto Rico chromosome 3, complete genome